AUACUGGUAGAAAAUUUUCUGCAACUGUCCUCAAACAGAGCAGUGAUUGGUAGGGCAGGAAAGAGAAAGGUGGAAUAGAUUAUAAAUUAAUUGGAGAAGAAAAAGAUAAAUCUUAGUACUAAUUUGGCAACCCAUUUCAAGCAAGGAAAAUGUAGAUGUUGUAUCCCUGCUUUUUCUGAAUAAUUUUAUUACCCUAUGCAAUAGGAGCUGUUAUCACUGCAGAACCAAGGUCACCUGUGGAAGCUCCUUGCUGAAGCCAGUUUUCUAUCAGAUCAUCCAUCAGGCCUAGCAGGUUGAUUUCUUUAGGUCCCCACCACCCACCAUGAGAUUGGACAAGUCUAGUGGGAAGUGGUCUAGAGGUGAUGGAUCUUCUAGGAUUGCAAUCAGAGCUGGCUUCAUGAGUGUGCACAGGGGUCCCACACAUGAAUGAGUACUUUCCUUCACUGUCUUAAAAUUCUUAAUAGUGUUUGAACAAGGUAUCCCAGAUUCAUUUUCAUUUGCACUGGGCCCCACAAAUUAUGUAGCCAGAUUAGGUUACAGUCAACAUUUGGACAAUGUUAACUCUAUUUAUUGCACACUAUUUUUCUAAGAUAACUAGUAGAAAUGCUUGCAUGUCAGAAAUGUUGUUGUUAAAAUAUCUGAUGACUUAAGCUGUCUUACAUUUAGGCUGAUAUCUCUCCUUACAUCUUUUCUGCCAUUAACAUUAGGGAUUAGAUAGAUCAAACAAGGCAAGGAGAACUCAAGAAAGUCUGGUCACUUCAGUGAGUGUUGGUGUGUGAGGAGAAUCAAGUGAGAAGUGCUUUUAGAAACAUCCAUGCAGGUAUGAAGGAGCUCUAACAUGCCAGGUGAGUGGACAAGGCUUGGGGAAGGUUGACGAUACCUAGAGACAUGUCAGCCUUUGGGUCAGAGCCUGCCUAAUCUCAUGGGGAACUGAUGGGUGGAAUAGGCACUCUAGGCUCCCCCUGGCAUGGGCAGGGUUGCAGAGAAUUCAGAAAUUUGUGUGUGUUCACGGAGGGGAGGCCAAGCUUCUGACUGUUGAAGUUAGGGUCAGAAUGGAGAGGCAAGCAUGUGUGUGAGGGACUCUGAGAUGGGAGGCUGACAAUUAGGACAAUGGGCUUUGCCCAUGGAGCCAGAAUGUUACCCUGCGAGGGUGAAUGGCACUGGGCCACAUAUCUCAGUGGUCAGAUCCAGGAUCUCAGCAGUCACUCCUAUCAAUCAGAGAUCGGACCAUGGCAGGCACACUCAGCAAAGUCCCCCAUGAUCCAGAAGACAUGUGCGAAUUCUGCAUCAUCUUCCCCUCCAUAAUCCUGAGGACAGUGAGAGCCAAGGAUUGCUUAGCCACACAGGUGUAGCAGUGGGGGAAGCAGAAAGCUAGAUGAAUCCAUGGAUGGAAUUUUUCAGGAGAGUAACAUAGGGCAUGAAGGCCCAUCAAUGAGAGAGACAACAUUUAGAUAGGAGUACUGGACAUUUGAAAAUUCUUACACCCUGUGAUGUGACAUGGAGAAGUGACCAACACAACUUUGCCAACUAUACUCCAUUCUUAGUAACUGCCGAUUAGGAAGGAUUUCUUUCUAAGUCUGUCACUAAUUCAACUGUUAUUCACAAGAGAAGUAGAGGCAAAUGAUAGCAGCUUGAUCGUUGAUUUUUGAUUUAGAUGAUCAAUGAUGUUCAGAAUAGUGUUUGUAUGUGUGAGCAUGGAUGUGUAUGUCGUGUGUGUGUCUGUGUAUGUGGUGUGUGUGUCUGUGUAUAUUGUGUGUGUGUGUGUGCAUGCGUGUGUGCAGGGUAGGUAUCACCACAUUCCCUGUGGUGGUGUGUCUCUUCUCUGGGAUUGGUUCUUCUAGAAUCUCCCACCUUUUAGAACCACUUUAAGAUAUUUAUUUAUUCUCUCCAACCAUCCUGGCAAUCUUUUUAUCCUUAAACAGGAAUAAAUUCCUACAGCUGAAUCUAUUCAGGAUUUCUGUGUGUAUGUGUGAAAAUUUAUAUGAUGCUCAAUCCUUUAAAAAUCUUUUAUUCAAGUAACUUUAAAAGUAAAACACAAGGUGUUUUAUCAUAAAAAGUGAGAGAUGUUAGUCCACUUAAUUUCUUGCUUGCUUUCUUUUGUG
rnacentral:lncRNA from 1 species